ACAGGACUAGCUUGCUAGUUGCUGACGAGCGGCGGACGGGUGCGUAACACGUAGGAAUCUACCCAGUAGCGGGGGAUAGCCCGGAGAAAUCCGGAUUAAUACCGCAUACGCCCUACGGGGGAAAGUAGGGGAUCUUCGGACCUUGCACUAUUGGAUGAGCCUGCGUCGGAUUAGCUAGUUGGUGGGGUAAAGGCCUACCAAGGCAACGAUCCGUAGCUGGUCUGAGAGGAUGAUCAGCCACACUGGGACUGAGACACGGCCCAGAUUCCUACGGGAGGCAGCAGUGGGGAAUAUUGCACAAUGGGCGCAAGCCUGAUGCAGCCAUGCCGCGUGUGUGAAGAAGGCUCUAGGGUUGUAAAGCACUUUCAGCGAGGAGGAAAGGUUGGUAAUUAAUACUUGCCAGCUGUGACGUUACUCGCAGAAGAAGCACCGGCUAACUCCGUGCCAGCAGCCGCGGUAAUACGGAGGGUGCAAGCGUUAAUCGGAAUUACUGGGCGUAAAGCGUGCGUAGGCGGCUGCCUAAGUUGGAUGUGAAAGCCCCGGGCUCAACCUGGGAACUGCAUCCAAAACUGGGCAGCUAGAGUGCGGAAGAGGAGUGCGGAAUUUCCUGUGUAGCGGUGAAAUGCGUAGAUAUAGGAAGGAACACCAGUGGCGAAGGCGACACUCUGGUCUGACACUGACGCUGAGGUACGAAAGCGUGGGGAGCAAACAGGAUUAGAUACCCUGGUAGUCCACGCCGUAAACGAUGUCUACUAGUCGUCGGGUCUCUUGCAGACUUGGUGACGCAGCUAACGCGAU
rnacentral:rRNA from 1 species